GAUGAACGCUGGCGGCGUGCCUAAUACAUGCAAGUCGAGCGAACAGACGAGGAGCUUGCUCCUCUGACGUUAGCGGCGGACGGGUGAGUAACACGUGGAUAACCUACCUAUAAGACUGGGAUAACUUCGGGAAACCGGAGCUAAUACCGGAUAAUAUAUUGAACCGCAUGGUUCAAUAGUGAAAGACGGUUUUGCUGUCACUUAUAGAUGGAUCCGCGCCGCAUUAGCUAGUUGGUAAGGUAACGGCUUACCAAGGCAACGAUGCGUAGCCGACCUGAGAGGGUGGUCGGCCACACGGGAACUGAGACACGGUCCAGACUCCUACGGGAGGCAGCAGUAGGGAAUGUUCCGCAAUGGGCGAAAGCCUGACGGAGCAACGCCGCGUGAGUGAUGAAGGUCUUCGGAUCGUAAAACUCUGUUAUUAGGGAAGAACAAAUGUGUAAGUAACUAUGCACGUCUUGACGGUACCUAAUCAGAAAGCCACGGCUAACUACGUG
rnacentral:rRNA from 1 species